GUAUAUAUAAUUUAAAUAAAAUAUUAAANUGUGACUUUAAUUAUNAGAUUU
rnacentral:tRNA from 1 species